GACGAACGCUGGCGGCGUGCUUAACACAUGCAAGUCGAACGGAAAGGCCCCUUUGGGGGUACUCGAGCGGCGAACGGGUGAGUAACACGUGAGUAACCUGCCCUUGACUUCGGGAUAACUUCAGGAAACUGGGGCUAAUACCGGAUAGGAAUCCUUGCUGCAUGGUGGGGGUUGGAAAGCUUCGGCGGUUUUGGAUGGACUCGCGGCUUAUCAGCUUGUUGGUGGGGUAGUGGCUUACCAAGGCUUUGACGGGUAGCCGGCCUGCGAGGGCGACCGGCCACAUUGGGACUGAGGUACGGCCCAGACUCCUAAGGGAGGCAGCAGUGGGGAAUAUUGCACAAUGGGCGGAAGCCUGAUGCAGCAACGCCGCGUGCGGGAUGACGGCCUUCGGGUUGUAAACCGCUUUCAGCAGGGGCGAAGCUUGUGGUGACGGUACCUGCAGAAGAAGCACCGGCUAACUACGUG
rnacentral:rRNA from 1 species